CCUGGCUCCAGGCAGAGCGGCAGGAAAGGAGCCGAGCUCGCUGGCAGGAGCAGCCGGGAGUUUCUGCUGGCGUGAAAUGGGAGACACAUUAUCCAACAAACACAGAGAGGUCUGCCUGGAAGUUUUAAGAGGAUGCUGAGGAGUGAAGCACAGCUCACCUGGAUGUGUAACCAUCAAUAGAAGCACAGCAGGAAUAAUUCCCCUCUCAAACUUGACCCUGCUUGGGGAAUGGCCAUGUCACUGUCAGCAGCCAAUCCCACACGUUGCAGGUGUUUAGGACAGAUAAUUCCUGCUUUUCCAUGGGAUAUCACCCACGAGGGUCAUACAACAGCAGCAAGGAAAACAAAAUAUACCCAGCUCACUGGGAUGUGUAUGGGUUUGACAAGGCUGCCCUCUGCUGAGAACAGCCCUGGGAGAAUUGAUCAA